GAUGAACGCUGGCGGCGUGCCUAAUACAUGCAAGUCGAGCGAACAGACGAGGAGCUUGCUCCUCUGACGUUAGCGGCGGACGGGUGAGUAACACGUGGAUAACCUACCUAUAAGACUGGGAUAACUUCGGGAAACCGGAGCUAAUACCGGAUAAUUUAUUGAACCGCAUGGUUCAAUAGUGAAAGACGGUUUUGCUGUCACUUAUAGAUGGAUCCGCGCCGCAUUAGCUAGUUGGUAAGGUAACGGCUUACCAAGGCAACGAUGCGUAGCCGACCUGAGAGGGUGAUCGGCCACACUGGAACUGAGACACGGUCCAGACUCCUACGGGAGGCAGCAGUAGGGAAUCUUCCGCAAUGGGCGAAAGCCUGACGGAGCAACGCCGCGUGAGUGAUGAAGGUCUUCGGAUCGUAAAACUCUGUUAUUAGGGAAGAACAAAUGUGUAAGUAACUAUGCACGUCUUGACGGUACUUAAUCAGAAAGCCACGGCUAACUACGUG
rnacentral:rRNA from 1 species